rnacentral:rRNA from 1 species
GCUCAACCGGGGAGGGUCAUAGAAACUGGGGAACUUGAGUGCAGAAGAGGAGAAGUGGGAAUUCCACGUGUAGCGGUGAAAUGCGUAGAAGAUGUGGAGGAACACCAAUGCGAAGGCGACUCUCUGGUCUGUAAACUGACGCUGAGGAGCGAAAGCGUGGGGAGCGAACAGGAUUAGAUACCCUGGUAGUCCACGCCGUAAACGAUGAGUGCUAAAGUGUUAGGGGGUUUCCGCCCCUUAGUGCUGCAGCUAACGCAUUAAGCACUCCGCCUGGGGAGUACGGUCGCAAGACUGAAACUCAAAGGAAUUGACGGGGGGCCGCACAAGCGGUGGAGCAUGUGGUUUAAUUCGAAGCAACGCGAAGAACCUUACCAGGUCUUGACAUCCUCUGACAAUCCUAGAGAUAGGACGUCCCCUUCGGGGGCAGAGUGACAGGUGGUGCAUGGUUGUCGUCAGCUCGUGUCGUGAGAUGUUGGGUUAAGUCCCGCAACGAGCGCAACCCUUGAUCUUAGUUGCCAGCAUUCAGUUGGGCACUCUAAGGUGACUGCCGGUGACAAACCGGAGGAAGGUGGGGAUGACGUCAAAUCAUCAUGCCCCUUAUGACCUGGGCUACACACGUGCUACAAUGGACAGAACAAAGGGCAGCGAAACCGCGAGGUUAAGCCAAUCCCACAAAUCUGUUCUCAGUUCGGAUCGCAGUCUGCAACUCGACUGCGUGAAGCUGGAAUCGCUAGUAAUCGCGGAUCAACAUGCCGCGGUGAAUACGUUCCCGGGCCUUGU